UCAAAAACCAGUUCAUAGUCACAGUCAAUGACCAUAGACCAGUGGGGAAGGUUCGAAGUCGGACUCAGGACUCAGUGCUCAACACACAUACAAGCCCUGGGCCUACUGACACUGGUCUGUACGGGCUUCCGAAACCGGAAGCAGCAAUCCUUCAGACUGACUCAGGAUGGCCUAUAAUCUCGCCCUCCAGGUGUAGCCCAGCAGCAUGGAUAUCACCCAGGAGCUCACUACCAGUUACCAGCCCAGAGGCACUGAAUCAGAAUCUACCUUUUAACGAGGGCCCCAGGUGAGUCGUAUGCAUGCACACUCUACUUAAGAAGCCCUUCUCCGAGCUCCCCUCCACCCAUGAGGUUCCACAACGACCGUGUGAGUCCAUCUUGUUCGGCAAACUUUGGCCAGCACACCGGCCAAGUGGGGGAGUCCGUGCAAGUCUUGGACACCAACAGUAUACAGAUGUGGGUCAACAAAGACAAGUACCUCCACUAUAGAGUAUCCAGCACUGUAUGAGAGUGGAAUUUUCCUGCUCCUUCCUUCAGUCUGGGCUGGGAACGCUCAGUCACAACAGAAUUUAACGGCGCACCAGCCUUGAUAACCGCUAAUACGUAUAGCUGCUUUCUAAGCGCCCGGCACUCUGCUAUGGACAUCACGUGCUUUAUUCCAGUUCUUCAGAGCGAUUCUGCGGGGUAGGUGGGACUCUUGAUUUUAAGGAUGCUGAAGCCAAGGUGCAGAACAAGAUGAAGAACAGCUCAAGGGCACACAGCACGUGGCGGAGGUGGUAUUUGUGCAUUAACCCACAGCGCGGUGCUGUCUUCCCGUAUCGAUGUUCACAGGAAAAGCAAGAAGCCUGUUGGACUAUGUGUGGACCACCCUCAUCGCGAGCGUCCUCCUCAAAUCCGGAGGCCACAUUUUAAGAGCGGGUAGAGGGACAAGGGAGUUGAUCAAACAUAGGAGGGCCUAGAAAACAUGAGAGAAAUGGCUAAAUCAGGCUAAAUCGAUACACUAGUGCCCAAAUCGCAGCCUGCCCCUGUUCUUGUUAAUAAAGUUUUAUUGGAACACA